UACGUAGGGUGCGAGCGUUGUCCGGAAUUAUUGGGCGUAAAGAGCUCGUAGGUGGCGGGUCACGUCGGGUGUGAAAGCCCGGGGCUUAACUCCGGGUCUGCAUUCGAUACGGGUCUGCUGGGGUCCGGCAGGGGAGACUGGAAUUCCUGGUGUAGCGGUGAAAUGCGUAGAGAUCGAGAGGAACACUAGUGGCGAAGGCUGGGCUCUGGACAGUAUCUGACGCUGAGGCACGAAGGUCAGGGGAGCAAACGGG
rnacentral:rRNA from 1 species